ACGGAGCCAAACGUUCUAAGAAGGUUCGAGCCAUCUGCUGAAGAUUUGAUCUCACCGAUACAGUCCUUGGUCUGUCCAGGUCCUCAGUGGGGCCCAUUUCUGAGUCUUGACUGGACGUAGGAGGCUGCACGGAACACCUCCUGACCUCCAUCUUACCUGGUGGACCUCCCCCUUAGCUGAGGGCCACUCACCGAGGCCUGACCCCCACGGCUUUCCUCCUGGAAGGAGCCUGGCUCAACCUGUGCUGAACCAACCUGGUGGAUCCACCAGCUGCGGCUCCUACGACACGGUGCCCAGGCGGCCAGGGUCCCUGAACAGGGCUUACUGAAUGAACGAAGGCUUGCGUGGUGGUCUUCACCCUGCCCACCUUCCAUCCACAGAUGGCCAUGCGGUCAGCUUUCAUGAGUCAGCAGCUGGAAAGAAGGUGGAGUUCCCUGUGUGUGGGCCAGUCUCCUGAGCACACCACACGUGUGUUUUUGCAGAGCACAUUCAGACCACCGAGCGGGUUUUCUCCUGGGCGAGAUGUUUGAUUUCGCUUGCUUCAUUUGCAGUCCCACGUCUUUCAGGACUUGAUAGAUUCUGCUACAUUUCCAUGCAUAUAUUUAUUCUGAUUUAUAUGUUUAAUUGCGUUUACUGUUCCUCUGCUUAAUCUGCUAGCUCUAACAAUGGAGACUUUCUCUAAGUCUCUAAAAUAGUUCUCAUUUGCCAAUGUUUAUCUUCUCCCACGUCACAAUCUUUCCUAGGGUGAAUCUGCAUGGUCCCAUAAUGCCUUGCAGCAUAACCCUGUGAGUCAAAUAGCUCUCCCGUUUUCAUUAUUUCAAUUCCAUUUCUCUACAUGAAUUAUUUGAUCCUCUUUACUUGAGAGGUGGUUGAAAAAAUAAAGCUUAUUGUGAUGAGGUAUAAAGGGAGCUAGCUGACUUAUACUUUUUACUGCAUUUUCCAGAGAUAAAUAAAUCCAGCUUUGUGGCUAGUAAUAAAUUAAACCAACUUAAUUUUUUCCCUGCCAUCUAGCUGGACUGAAAUAUUACAUUGUGCCAUCAAGAUUAACACCAAAUAAGAGAUCGUGUGAAUCAGGUUUCUGUUGCUGUAACAAAUUCCUGAGAUAAAUCAACUUAUAAGGAAGGGAGGUAUAUUUUGGCUCAUGGUGUCAGAGGUUUCAGCCCAUAGCUGCUGGGCCCUGUUGCUUUGGACCUGUGGUCAAGCAGAGCAUCAUGGCAGUGGCACGUGGCAGAAGAGACGGCUUACCUCAUGGAACCUGGGAAAGUGAGAGGAGAGGAAGGGCCAGAGCCCUGACGUUUCCUUUAAGAGCACCCUCUUUAUGACCUAACCUCCUCCCACUAGGCCCCGCCCCCUAAAGGUUCCACCAUCUCCGGUAGCAUCACAAGCUGGCCCCAAAGCCUUCAACCAGGGCCUUGGGGGACUCUAGAGGGCCAAACUACAGCAGGAAAGACAAAUGGUCUCAAUGCAAGGUAUCACGAGCUAUCCAAAUUAUGAAAACAAAGGACUGGACUAACUUUGACUUUGAUUUUCUUCCCAAAGUUACUGAAGAUGGAGAAGGCCUGAAAGGAAGGCACAGAUCCACAAGGGCAGAGAGAAAGGCAGAGGUCACUGCAUCUUGGGUGCUGGAGAUGAGACCGACAAGGAAUAAAGGAUUCAGUGUCACAGAGAGAGCAGGACCUUUGUCCUGCACUGGGCAAGCUCUGGGAUAGGCUGGUGCAGAGGGCAAGAUGCCAGGAAAGCCCAGGACCGCCAGCACCUGGGAUCCUGGAAGCCAGGGAUGUAGUUGCUGCUGCCCACGGGACUGUUAGGGAGCUCCUAUGGGAAGCCUGCAAACCCAGUCCCAGGGCCUUGCAGCCCACUGUCUGCCCUUGACCUGCACAAGCCUGCCUGUCCACUCCCUGCUGAGGGCAGCUGAGUCAUGGAACAGCAGGGUCCUGGGGUAGGGGUCCACCUAGGAGCUGACCUGCGCUGCCCCCCUUCCCCAGGAACAUUGGCAUCCAUGCCCACACCUCCAGGUCAGGGACCCUGUGACCCCCAGAGAAACUCCAGCCCAAGAAAGUCCUGGGUGAAAUGGCCCAGGUGACUCGCAGCCACCUUGUGGAAGCCCCAGCCACCUGCCUGUCCCCCGCCCACCCCCGGUGCUCCUGUCAGCUCUUCAGUACAUUCCUUUAAGAACAUGCAACCAACCAUCAGAGACUUGAAGAAAGAGCGCUCCUGACAGGAGGAACAGAGAUCAAGUUCAAGUGCAAAACAGAGGGGGGAGUGAAAGGGAGAAAAGAGGAAAAGUAUCUAAAGAUGAAAAUUAAAGUUCCCCAAACCUGCUUUUAUCCUCAAAAAAUAAAGGGAAAUAUUACCCCUAAGAAAUUUUAAAAAAGAGAGAUAUUCUUGCAAUGAAAACGGGUCUUAAAUCCUAAAAAAUAUGAACACAGAAAUAAAAAUCUUAGUGGAGAUGAUGGAAGAAGAAUAGAGGCCAUCUCCCAGAUAACAAAUGGAAAAUGAAGGGAAGUGGGAUAGAAAAGCAAAGAGCAGGAGAGGAUUACCCCGAGGGUCGGCACCUGAACAGAGGAACCCAUCCCGUGGGGAUCAGGGAAACCAGGAAGCACAUUGCCAAACCUGAGUUUCCAGUCGGAGGGAACUUGCUGAGUUCCCUGCAGAGUGAAAAAAGACCCUCACCAAAGCACAGAUCCUAAAAUGUCAAAAUGCACAGAUGGAGGAAGAGCCCAACAUCUCACAGUGAGGAAAAAGGAUCUCAAGCUAAGAGCCACGAACCUUAGACCUUCCACAAGAAAUAAGAGGUGAUUUGGGUCCCAAGACUGGGAAUCCAUGUCUCACUUAGACCCUGGCUAGUCCCAGGAGGCUGAGCUCUCAAGGGAAGGGUGAACAGAUUGUGCUUUUAGUCAUGCAAGUUCCUGAGGGGCUCACUCAGCAAAUACCUUUUCUCAGAAAGCUACUGUGGAAUGUACUCCAGCAAAACAAAGGAAUAUAUCAAGAGGAUGCUAGAUCAAGGUCAAAAGGAUGUCCCUAAAGACAUGGUGUCUUGAGAGUACAGGGGACAGCAGCCUUGGGAACAGAAAAGGGAAUAACUGGCAAAGGGUUCCAGAAGGCUAUGUUUCAAGGGGGAAAAAUGAAACUGGAAGAAUAUUUGGUGCUUUUUGAAAGUAUUAACGAAAGGUUUAUAUUUCUGGUGAAGGGUUUUGGAAUGAAUUUGUAAAAUGUACCAAAAAAAAAAAUCUGAAAAACUGCAAUAACUUACAAUGAAGCAGAUAAUGUCUAUUUCUAGAAUGAAAUAACUUUCUGUCUUCAGAAAAAAAUUAGUGUAUUUUUGUUGUUAAUUAUGUAAAUGUUGAAUGCAAAUCUUACUUCAAAGUCAUUAAAAGGUGAAAGUACUGAACAUUUUUAUCAGAAUGGGCAACUAUAUCCUGGUAAAUUCAUAGUUCAAAUAUAAAAAAUUGUAAUCAUCGAUGGGAAAACAUAAGACAGAAUUAUGAAUCAGUUACAUAUGAUAAAAAAUUUGACAUUUACUCUUGGGGAAAAACUUAUUAAAAAGGAUUUUUUUUUUAAAGAUGAAA